CGNNNUCNNNAGAAGCCAUGCAUGNUCUAGUACAUGCCGUAUUAAGGCGAAACCGCGAAUGGCCUCAUUAAAUCAGUUAUGGUUCCUUGGAUCGUACCUUACUACUUGGAUAACUGUGGUAAUUCUAGAGCUAAUACAUGCAGCAGAGCUCCGACCUUCGGGAACGAGCGCUUUUAUUAGAACAAAACCGACCGGACUCUGUCCGUACUUUGUGGUGACUCUGAAUAACUUUGGGCUGAUCGCACGGGCCCGUCCCGGCGACGUAUCUUUCAAGUGUCUGCCUUAUCAACUUUCGAUGGUAGGUUACGCGCCUACCAUGGUCGUAACGGGUAACGGGGAAUCAGGGUUCGAUUCCGGAGAGGGAGCCUGAGAAACGGCUACCACAUCCAAGGAAGGCAGCAGGCGCGCAAAUUACCCACUCCCAGAACGGGGAGGUAGUGACGAAAAAUAACAAUACGGGACUCUUUUGAGACCCCGUAAUUGGAAUGAGUACACUCUAAAUCCUUUAACGAGGAUCCAUUGGAGGGCAAGUCUGGUGCCAGCCGCCGCGGUAACUCCAGCUCCAAUAGCGUAUAUUAAAGUUGUUGCGGUUAAAAAGCUCGUAGUUGGAUCUCAGUUCCAGACGGGUGGUCCGCCUACCGGUGGUUACUGCCUGUUCUGAACAGCCAGCCGGUUUCUCUUGAUGAUCUUCACCGGUUGUCUUGGGUGACCGGCAAGUUUACUUUGAAAAAAUUAGAGUGCUCAAAGCAGGCGCGACGCCUGAAUAGUGGUGCAUGGAAUAAUGGAAUAGGACCUCGGUUCUAUUUUUGUUGGUUUUCGGAACACGAGGUAAUGAUUAAGAGGGGACAGACGGGGGGCAUUCGUAUUGCGACGCUAGAGGUGAAAUUCUUGGACCGUCGCAGGACGAACUACUGCGANCNUUUUUUCCCCANNNAAA
rnacentral:rRNA from 1 species